rnacentral:tRNA from 1 species
GCCAUGUUGGUCCAGUCGGUUAGGACGAUACAGGUUACUGUAGAGGGUGGGGUUUGAAUCCUCGGAAUGGCA